GCUGUGGAAUUAUAAAACCUUUGGAAAAUCUUUCAUGUGAGAACAACAUGGGGGCAAGCCUCUGACCAAAAUAGCUCAAAAAUUUGUGUCACACAGUUACAGUAAAUACCUAAGAGCUUGACGCAUAAAACACAACAGUCUCCUGGAGACAGGGAGGAGAAAGAAAGAUAAAGUCUGUGGCUUUAGAAGAAAAGGAAUAACUUAAGAGGCUUGUUUGCUGUUCAGGCUGGCCCCCAAGGAUGACAACAUUUUGCUCCCUCCCACCACAUGAACUAAAGAUCUGCAAGCUGUAACCUUUUCCGAAGGGCUACCUGGGCCUCUGUGUCCAUCAGAGCUGAUGAGCUGAUCUUCAUUCACCAUCUGGGAGAAGAAAUAUAGAAGAUAAAUCUGGAACAUUGUGUGCCACAAAAUAAGAAAACUGUGAAAGGAAAAUGAGGCAUUGUCAAAAUGACACAUGAGCCAGCUUGAGUAGACUUUCACUAUCCAAAGGUGUGACACUGCUGAACUUUUGACUGAGGUCCUGGCAGAUCUUCUCAUUUCCAAAAGACCAUAGGAGAUUUAACUUUGUUCUUCAAAGACUCUCAGCCCAGCUCUCCAGCUUUACUCCUUCAAAAUAUGCAAAUAUAGGAAAAAGGCAGAUUAGAAAUGAUCUGAGGACACAAAGUACCUGGGCAAGAGAGUGAGAAGGGAUAUAAACGAAGAAGAAAAAAAUAAAAACAAGAAAUUUGCUGCCAGUUACCAAAUCAACCAAGUGUCAUACAGAUUUCCUGUCUUCAUCAUCAGUAGGCAUUGGGACAAGAACCCAGAACUUGCAGAACUGUGACAGUAAAAGAACUGUAGUGCUCCUGCUCACUGAGCUGCUGGCAGCAGGAGUAAAAGAGCUGUAACACUCCCUCCUGCUGGCUGAACAAUGAAAGAGAAGAAGCCGCACGAUUUCCAGUUUUUCCAGCACCAUCUACUGAAGAGACUGCCCUUUCUCCAGUGUAUGUUCUUGGCACCUUUGUCAAAAACGAGUUCACUGUUUUGAUAUCAAGAUUACACAGAUCUCACAAAACAUCAUGCCUCACCAUUGCAUUUAAUAGAAACUAAUCAAGAGAUUUGCAAGCUGGAAGACCCUGGAUUCAGGGCCACUGUUGGAGGAUAGCAUUGAUGAAUAGCAGACAAGAGCUCAGAUUUUGUUACUCACGCCAUGCAUAAAAUAGCCAUGGUACCACCACUGACCCACGGGCCAUACAUCCUAACUGCAGGUGAACUCAAAGAGCACUUUACAUGAAAGCAAAGAACGUAACAUUUUCAAACGCAUCAAACUAUGCCAGAUGAGAUGCAAUCUGCUAUACAUAUUUCAAAUGGCA